AACAUCGCGCACCUGCGGGAACCUGCGGAGGGAUCAUUACCGAGUGUGGUCCCUUAAUAAGGGGCGACUCCCGUCCUUUGCAGGGCCUUUAGGGGCUUUUUGACUUUGCUUCGGCGGGCUUGUCCCGCCGGAACACCCUCAAGAAAAUCUCGAAAAAAAAACCUUCGUCUGAAUUGCUUGCGAAUAAAAACAAAACUUUUAGCAACGGAUCU
rnacentral:misc_RNA from 1 species